rnacentral:rRNA from 1 species
CCUACGGGGGGCUGCAGUAGGGAAUCUUUCACAAUGGGCGAAAGCCUGAUGGAGCAACGCCGCGUGCAGGAUGAAGGCCUUCGGGUUGUAAACUGCUUUUAUAAGCGAGAAAUAUGAUGGUAACUUAUGAAUAAGGAUCGGCUAACUACGUGCCAGCAGCCGCGGUCAUACGUAGGAUCCGAGCAUUAUCCGGAGUGACUGGGUGUAAAGAGUUGCGUAGGUGGCAUAAUAAGUAGCUAGUGAAAUCUGGUGGCUCAACCAUUCAGACUAUUAGCGAAACUGUUAAGCUCGAGACCGUUAGGGGUAACUGGAAUGUCUAGUGUAGGGGUGAAAUGCGUAGAUAUUAGAAAGAACACCGAUAGCGUAGGCAGGUUACUGGGACGGUUCUGACACUAAGGUACGAAAGCGUAGGGAGCAAACGGGAUUAGAUACCCGGGUAGUC